rnacentral:rRNA from 1 species
AUUGAACGCUGGCGGCAGGCCUAACACAUGCAAGUCGAACGAGUGGCGGACGGGUGAGUAAUGUCUGGGAAACUGCCCGAUGGAGGGGGAUAACUACUGGAAACGGUAGCUAAUACCGCAUACAAUCGGAUGUGCCCAGAUGGGAUUAGCUAGUAGGUGGGGUAACGGCUCACCGAGGGGCCGAUCCCUAGCUGGUCUGAGAGGAUGACCAGCCCCACUGGAACUGAGACGCGGUCCAGACUCCUACGGGAGUCAGCAGUGGGGCAUAUUGGACAAUGGGCGCAAUCGUGAUUCAGCCAUGCGGCGUGUAUGAAAAAGUCCUUCGGUUUGUAAAGUACUUUCAGCGAGGAGGCGGUACUCGCAGAAGAAGCACCGGCUAACUCCGUGCCAGCAGCCGCGGUAAUUC